rnacentral:rRNA from 1 species
GUAGGCUGCAACUCGCCUACAUGAAGUCGGAAUCGCUAGUAAUCGCGGAUCAGCAUGCCGCGGUGAAUACGUUCCCGGGCCUUGUACACACCGCCCGUCACACCAUGAGAGUUUGUAACACCCAAAGCCGGUGGGGUAACCUUUUGGAGCCAGCCGUCUAAGGUGGGACAGAUGAUUGGGGUGAAGUCGUAACAAGGUAGC